rnacentral:rRNA from 1 species
UACGGGGGGGGCAAGCGUUGUUCGGAAUUACUGGGCGUAAAGGGCUCGUAGGUGGCCUACUAAGUCAGACGUGAAAUCCCUCAGCUUAACUGGGGAACUGCGUCUGAUACUGGAUGGCUUGAGUUUGGGAGAGGGAUGCGGAAUUCCAGGUGUAGCGGUGAAAUGCGUAGAUAUCUGGAGGAACACCGGUGGCGAAGGCGGCAUCCUGGACCAACACUGACACUGAGGAGCGAAAGCCAGGGGAGCAAACGGG